UACGUAGGGUGCGAGCGUUAAUCGGAAUUACUGGGCGUAAAGCGUGCGCAGGCGGCUUUGCAAGACAGAUGUGAAAUCCCCCGGGCUCAACCUGGGAAUGGCAUUUGGGACUGCAAGGCUGGAGUUUGGCAGAGGAGACUGGAAUUCCCGGUGUAGCAGUGAAAUGCGUAGAUAUCGGGAGGAAUACCGAUGGCGAAGGCAGGUCUCUGGGCUAUAACUGACGCUCAUGCACGAAAGCGUGGGGAGCAAACAGG
rnacentral:rRNA from 1 species